GACAUAUCAUGUUGAAACGCCAGUUCGGGUACUAUCACCGUAGUUAAGCAACGUCGAGCCUGAUCAGUACCUAGAUGGGUGACCGCUUAAGAAUACCAGGGGCUGUAAG
rnacentral:rRNA from 1 species